rnacentral:lncRNA from 10 species
CAAUGAAGCAUGCCUACAUGAUCCAGAAAACAGCCUCAAAAGAGCAAAUCUAAGAGUCAUUGCCCUUAAAGUGGAGGUAAUAAGACAGCCAAGUGUAAAGGGGUUCCCAGAAAAACUCCAACCUGCCUGUGCACUGAGAGUGCACACUAGGGUGGAGCCACAGAAGUUCUCACAAUUUGCACGUGGGGAGAGGCCUGGCCCCUCCUCUUCCUGGGUGGAACCUAGAAUUCAAUCUGCAAGGUGGGAAGCACAUACUAGCAGGACUCUCACUCUGCUGAGGAUCCCUGUUUUCCCUCUUUUUUCUUUUUGCCCAGUAAAUUCCAUUUUUCUCACCUUUCAAAGUGUCUGCGAGCCUAAUAUUUCAUGGCUUUGUGACAAGGAUCCUGUCUUUAGCUGAGCUAAGGAGAAAGUCCUACAACAGUAGAGAAAAAUAUGAGAAAGUUUAUUCAAAGGAAUAAUAACAGAGAACUUCCCAAACCUAGAAAAAGAUAUCAAUAUCCAAGUAUAAGAAGGUUGUAGAACACCAAGCAGAAAUAACCCAAAGAAGGCUAUCUCAAGACAUUUAAUAAUCAAACUCUCAAACCUGAAGGAUAAAGAACGGAUUCUGAAAGCAGCAAGAGAAAAGAAACAAGUAACAUACGAUGGAGCUCCAAUACAUCUGACAGCAGGCUUUUCAGCAGAUAUCUUACAGGCCAGGAAAGAGUGGCAUGACAUAUUUAAAGUGCUGAAGGCAAACAACAUUUACCUACAAUAGUAUGUCUGGCAAAAACUGGAGAGCAUUAUAUUAUGUGAAAUAAGCCAGGCACAGAAGGACAAACAUCACAUGUUCUCACUUAUUUGUGGAAUCCAAAAAUCCAAACAAUCAAACUCCUGGAGAUAGAGAGUACUAGGAUGAUUACCAGAGGCUAGAAUGGGUAGUGGUCGGGGAGGAUGUGGGGGAAAAUGCAGAUAUUAAUAGGUACAAAAAAUAGUUAGAAGAAUGAAUAAGACCUAGUAUUUGAUAGCACAACAGGGUGACUAUAGUCAAGAAUAACUUAAUUGUACAUUUUUAAAUAGCUGAAAGAGUACAACUGGAUAGUUUGUAAUACACAGAGUAAGUGUUUGAGGGGAUGGAUACCCCAUUAUUCAUAAUGUACAUAUUUCACAUUGUAUGCCUAUAUCAAAACAUCUCAUGUACCCCAUAAAUAUAUAGACUUACUAUGCAUCCACAACAAAUACAAAUAAAAAAAUAAAAUUCUUGCAGACAUGAAGGGGCUUAGUACAUAUUAAUUUAAUAAUGAUUAUGUCUUAAUGCUUAUUACUGCCUAUUGAAUAUCCAGGGAAAGCAAAUCAUAUGAAGCUAACAAAUUUGAAAAACUCAGUUUCAAGAAGAAUGUAUUUUCAAAAGGCCUACCCUCACUUAUAGUUUCAGAGGUUUCUCCAUACCCUGGAAAUUUGUGUUUAACUGCCAUUCUUAAACAGUAGUCCUCAUUCUUUCAUUCUCUUCCUGGUGUUCUGGCAGCAUACUUAUUUUUAAUCCUUGAGCCCACUACCCCUUUACUUAUGUCUUUAUGCCAUAAAGCAUUUAAAGCAACAUGAACGUUGCUUUAAUUUUAUGAAUUAAGAUGUUCGUAGCUGCAACAAAGGAAACCUAACUCAUUUUUAAAAGGUUUCUUCUCACAGUCAAGAAGACCCCAGGUAAUGAGAUUCCACAUUGCUUAAUUCAGCAAAUUCACAUCAUACAUGCCCUGAUAUUUUAAAUAUUCUGCUGUCCCAUCCUUAACUUGCCAGCUUGUCCUUAAUUUAGUCUCCUUAAACUGCAGGAUAGAUGCUGUGAUUCCAAGUGUCUCAUGUGGACGUGACAACAUACAAUGGAAGAAGAUAAACUAUAUCUCUUUUUAACAGUGGGUGAAAUUUUCCCAGAAGCCCUCCCUCUCAGGGGAUAUUUCUUCAAUUCUCAUCUGCUAUAAUUGGAUAAAAUAUUUCUGCCUAGAUAAAUUCCUGGCAAGGAGAAUGGGACUGCCAUAAUUGACUUAAUCCAAAUAUAGAUUAUCUUCUGAAGCGGAGAAUGGUUUCCUCUGCCCUUUUUAUGAAGCAUGUGGUCACAUGGAGGAAGUUGGCAAAUUGAAAAAAAUAUAUAUUGGGAGAAAACACCUGAAAAUUACAUAUCUGAUAAAGGAUAUGCAACCAGAAUCCAUAGAGAACUCUCAAAACUCGAUAAUAAGAAAAUAGAAAAUGCAAAUUUUAAAAUGGACAUAUGAUUUUUAUAGAUACUUCACCAAAGAAGGCACACAAGUGGCUAAUAAGCAUAGAAAAACCUCAAACAUCAUUAUUCAUCAAGAAAAUGCACAUAAAAACCACAAUAAGAUACCCCUGCACAUCUAUAAGAAUGGAAAUUUUUGGUAAAACUGUCUGCAACAAGGUUGGAGAAGAUAUAAAGCAUCUGAACUCUCUUAUAUAAUGCUAGAAGAAAACAGAAAAUGGCACAAUUAUUUUAGAAAAGUUUGGCAACCUUGUUAAAAGCUAAACAUAAACCAACUGUAUUAUCCAUACUCAGUGUUUACCCAGGAAAAAAGAAAACAUACUCCACACAAAAACUUGCACAGGAUCCACAGCAGCUCCAUUUGUAAAUCCCAACUGGAAGCCCCUCAAAUGUCCAUCAAUAGAUGAAUAUGUAAAUAAAGUGUGGUGCACUCAUACAAGGGGAUACUACUAAGCCAUAAACACAAAUGAACGGUUGAUAUAUGCAAAAAAAUGGAUAAAUUUCAAAAUGAUCAUGCUAAGGAAAGAAGACACAAGGCUACAAACUGAUCCCAUUUAUAUAAAAUUCUGCAAUCUAUGCUGACAGAAAGAUCAGUGCCUGCCUGGUAACAGGAGCUAGGGAAUGUGAAAGGGGCAAGAAAGGAAAAAAGUUGAGAAGAUUUAUGAGGACUGUGAAGUUGAAACAGACUGAGUAAAGGAAGAUAUCUAGAAGAUGAAGUCAAGAGAGGUAGCUGGGAGACCAGAUCAAUGGGACCUUAUUUUCAACCCCUCCAAGGGAAAUCUGUUCUCUCAGUCUUCUCCAUGUUAGUAAAUGACAACUGCAUUUUUCCAAUUGGUAGGGCCAAAAAUCUUAUGACCAGUCUUUGCUCCUCUCUCUCUUUCACAUCCCACAUUAAAACUAUGAGAAAAUCUUGAUUUUUGUCUUCCAUAAUCUGACCAUUUCUCAACACUGCUUUUAACUUGGUCCAAGUAACCAAGGACUAGUGGAAGAAACUUUCUAAUUAAUCUCUUUGAUUCUUUUUCAGCUUCUAACAGUUUGUUCUAAAUCUCACUCAGAAUAAAGCCCAAAUUCCUUUCCGUAGUUUCUUCCUGAUCUGGCUUUCUACCACCUCUCUGAUCUCAUCUCACACCAUUCUUCCCACUCUCAGUUGGCUUGAUUAUGUUUUUGACUUGACUUUCUGGAGUAUAUUUUCCAAAUAGCACAUGCAGUAAUUCUUUAAAUCAAAAAUCUGAUUGUAUUAACUUUUGGCUUGAAACAUUUCAAUGACUUCCAAACACAUUUAAAACUAAAUCCAAAGUCAUUAAUAAAGCCUGUAGGGCCCCAUUGAUCUGAUUCCCCAGCUACCUUUCUGACCUCAUUUCCCAGCUAUCUUUCCUUACACUGUUCCAACUUCACUGACCUCCUUGCUGUUCCUCAAACAUGUCAGUCUUAUUUCCAUUUCAGAGCCUUUGCACUUCCUAUUUCCCCUGUCUGAAAUUAUCUACCCUUGUAAGUCCACCUGGCUUAUGCCAUACUUUUUUUCAGUUUUUUGCUCAAAUAUUACCUAACUGAAGAAAUCUUCCUUGACUAUGUGAAGUAAAAUAGCAGCCUCUGUCACUGCCUAUUCCAUUUACUCUGUUCCAUUUUUCUAAAAAGCACUUAUCACCAUCAGACUUAGCAAAUAUUUUAUUUAUUUAUCUUUUUAUAUCCUCUCCUAUUUGACUACUAAAAUGUAAACUCCUAAACGAAAAGACAUUAAGGGUUGUGUUCAUUC